rnacentral:lncRNA from 1 species
GUGCGACCGGUCCGAGGUUCCUAUCAAUAAGCUUGGCCGCUUUAGCCUCAAUAUUCAUGAGUUUAGCUUCUGGGGGAAACCCCCCGUGUUCCAUAUGCCACGUAAAACGAUGCAGCCCAUAUGCAGCCGCUGCAUGUGCACGCCCAAAAAUGGAAAGGUUUAACACAGAAAUGCGUCGAAACCGAGCCCAGACUUUGUCUAGUUGCACAUCCCAGUCCCUGACUGUGGUUUCUCCCACAUCCGUAAAAGGUAGAUUG